rnacentral:rRNA from 1 species
AUGCUGACAAAGGCGCAAUGGAUUUCCCUGUCAAAAGAAAAGCAGGGCAGAUCUACGAGCAGCGCCAAGAAUAAGGGGAAAGGGAAGCAGCGCUCGGCGAGAAAGAACUUCGCUGACUCGGACGGCGAGGAUGCGCCUGCACCAUCGAGGAGGAAGUUUGACAUCAGAAAAGUGAGGUGUCAUAAGUGUGGCCUCCUCGGUCACUUCAAGGCUAACUGCGAGGAAGCAUCGAAGCAGCGGACGCUCAUUGCCGAGGAAGGAGACGAUGGGGAUAUGAUGUUGAUGUGCGAGCUAGCAGACGAAGAGGAUCUAGAUGAUCUUGGUCAGCUGGAGACAAGUCCGGUGAGUGCAUCCGUGUUGGUAGAACUAGGCGAAGUUGUGGCGCCAGACGACCAUGACCCAAGGCGUGACAGUGUGGUUACGUCAGUAAACCCGGGCAAAGUCGUGGCGCCAGAAGACCAUGACGGAAGAAGUGACAGUGUGAUCACGUUAGAAGUAGGCGAAGAAGUGGCGCCAGAAGUCCACGACACUCUGCGUGAUGGUGUGGUCGCGCUAGAAGAUGGCGAAGACAUGUCACCGGAAGAACACAACGCGAGGCGUGGUGAAGUGGUCACCACAAAGAACGCAACAUGCAGCAAGCUGCACUCGAACUAG